rnacentral:rRNA from 1 species
GACGAACGCUGGCGGCGUGGAUUAGGCAUGCAAGUCGAGCGACGGUUUACCUUCGGGUAAAUACGGAGCGGCGAACGGGUGAGUAACACGUGAACAACCUGCCCUCACAUUCCGGAUAAUUGGCCGAAAGGCCUUGUAAUACGGGGGAGGAUGGCGCUGGGGCAUCUCAGUGCUAAGGAACGAGCAAUCGGUGCGAGGAGGGGUUCGCGGCUUAUCAGGUAGUUGGUGGGGUAACGGCCUACCAAGCCGACGACGAGUAGCUGGUCUGAGAGGAUGGUCAGCCACAUUGGAACUGAGACACUGUCCAGACUCCUACGGGAGGCUGCAGUCGAGAAUCUUGGUCAAUGCACGAAAGUGUGAACCAGCGACGCCGCGUGAAGGAUGAAGGCCCUCUGGGUCGUAAACUUCUUUUAUGGGAGAAGAAGGGGGCGCAAGCCUCUUGACGGUAUCCCGUGAAUAAGCCACGGCUAACUACGUGCCAGCAGCCGCGGUAAUACGUAGGUGGC